AACGAACGCUGGCGGCAUGCCUAACACAUGCAAGUCGAACGAACCCUUCGGGGUUAGUGGCGCACGGGUGCGUAACGCGUGGGAAUCUGCCCUUGGCUUCGGAAUAACAGUUAGAAAUGACUGCUAAUACCGGAUGAUGUCUUCGGACCAAAGAUUUAUCGGCCAGGGAUGAGCCCGCGUAGGAUUAGGUAGUUGGUGAGGUAAAGGCUCACCAAGCCGACGAUCCUUAGCUGGUCUGAGAGGAUGAUCAGCCACACUGGGACUGAGACACGGCCCAGACUCCUACGGGAGGCAGCAGUGGGGAAUAUUGGACAAUGGGCGCAGGCCUGAUCCAGCAAUGCCGCGUGAGUGAUGAAGGCCUUCGGGUCGUAAAGCUCUUUUACCAGGGAUGAUAAUGACAGUACCUGGAGAAUAAGCUCCGGCUAACUCCGUGCCAGCCGCCGCAGUAAUAC
rnacentral:rRNA from 1 species